AUGGACCGGAAGAAGCGUGAGUUCCGCAACCUCACCCAAGGCAACAAAACUGUCGAAGCUUAUCAGCGGGAGUUUCUGGACUUGUCCCGCUAUGCUGAAGAAGACAUUGCAACUGAUGCACGCAGACAGGAGAAGUUCCGUGAUGGCCUUCAAGCUGACAUCAAGCUCGCACUUCUAGUGCAUGACUUCGCCGAUUUCUCCACCUUGGUGAAUAAGGCCAUCAAUGUCGAGACUGGUCUGCAGGAAUACCAGAGCUCUCAGAGGCGCAACCGUGACACGGGCUCAUCUUCGGGCUCACCCUCACAGAAGCGUAAGAUAUGGAUCCCGAACAGCAUGUAA
rnacentral:rRNA from 1 species